ensembl:lncRNA
AUAUUAUUUCUUUUGCCUGGAAAAAAAUAUAUUUAAAAAAAGAAUUUUAUGUAUAAGUUAGCUUUUAACUAUCAUUAAUGAUGAGUUAGUACAUCACUAAGGAGCUGUUAUAAUCCUGGCAGAGCGGUCUGGUGAAAACCGUGAAUAGAUGAUUGGAACUGCCACUGUGUUCAGACCCAGUACGACAUGUUCUUUUUGUCAGAAUCCCAUUCCGCAGGAAGACCCACAUAGAAAUGAACUUCUCCAUCUGAAUAUGCAAAAUCAAUCCCCUAAACCACUGUGAUAUCUCUGUCUCUCCAGAUUUAUGUUUUUAAAAUACAGUGCUUAUUGAGAUUCCUCAUUCAACUUCAAGGAAGAACUGGAAAGAAAGCUGCAGAUUUAAUGUGCAGGCAAAGAAGACUCUCUCAAGUUGCCAGAAGCUCAGCAACAGCACUGAGGAAACAAGAUUGUCAUUUGUUUUUAAACUCUGGAUGGACUGCCUUCCAUGUGCGCUUUGAAUAACUAAAUACAGUUUCCCUGGAAGCUGGGCUUGACUGGAGUCUUCAGAUAAAGGUGUUUUGCACAAUUUCUGAGUGCUCUGCCCAAAACCAUUCUCCCCUUCUCCAUUGUUUGCUGUAGCAACUAGGGGAACCAAGAAGAUAUCAUAACCACACUGAUGAAGAGGAAUACCUGAGACAUCAUUCAAGUCAGGGGAUCCAAACAUGAACCAGGCUCUCAAACUUCUGGACACUAUGGAAGUUGAUGGUUGGACUAGAUGAUCCUAAUGGUCUCUCCAACGUUAAUUAUUCUAUGGAUGUUAAAGGGAAGAGAGUAGAACAGAAGACCUGAAGUGUAACAACAAUCUACAAUUCUUCCUGAAGAAAAAAGUCAUUUCCCAGUGUAAGAGACUAUUCUUUUAUAUCAUUGACUCAAAGUUUGCUGAGGAACAAGUCCAGGCAAGUCCUGGGCAAAGGCAGAGAAAUCUUUUGUCUUGAGGACACUGAUGGACAGGUCCUGGCUAAGGAUUGUGAAAUCCUCUAAGGAGCACAGAUGGACAAGGCCAGGGGCAUCGAGAGAGAGAUAAGCUGCUGCUAAUGGCCGGGAAACGGUCUUUUUGUGUGGACUUAUCUCAAGGAAAAUGGCCAUCUCAGGAGGUAUGCACAGGACUCUUGCUCAAGCACCCAGGAAUGUCACGUAGGCAGCAGAAAAUGGAGAAUAAAAGAGGGUCCAAUAACCACAACGGUGGAAGCUGAUCCUUCACCACAACCACGGCAACGGGAGAGGCUUAUCUCUCACCACGACAGACUUGAGGGGUUCUCUGCCAUCUGAUCCUUCACCGCAACGUGUAGACGGAUCUCUACGUGGAGACUGAUCUCUCACCACGACACGAGCUUCCUGCCUUCAGAUCCUUCUCUACGGACCGUUUGCUGACGGACUUCCCUGGGCCUGCUACCUGAGACCUGCUGCUUCCUCCCUGACCUGCACCCUCUCGUUGCCCAAGACCGGCCUCGCUGCUCCUGCCCUUCGGCCUCGGACCGUCGGAAUAUCGUGCAACGGGACUGCUGCCGGAUCCUGGUGGUGACUAUCCCCGCUUUACGCAAUUCUUGCCUCUUUCUAUCUUUUCUAUCGCUCGCCUUCCCUUCCCCAUCACCCCAGUCCUUAAUAGUGUCCGUCCUCCCCUUUCCCCAUCUCCCUUAUUAACAUUUGUAAUAAACUGGUCGG